GACGAACGCUGGCGGCGUGCUUAACACAUGCAAGUCGAACGAAGAGCGAUGGAAGCUUGCUUCUAUCAAUCUUAGUGGCGAACGGGUGAGUAACGCGUAAUCAACCUGCCCUUCAGAGGGGGACAACAGCUGGAAACGACUGCUAAUACCGCAUACGGUCUAAUCUCGGCAUCGAGGAUAGAUGAAAGGUGGCCUCUACAUGUAAGCUAUCACUGAAGGAGGGGAUUGCGUCUGAUUAGCUAGUUGGAGGGGUAACGGCCCACCAAGGCGAUGAUCAGUAGCCGGUCUGAGAGGAUGAACGGCCACAUUGGGACUGAGACACGGCCCAGACUCCUACGGGAGGCAGCAGUGGGGAAUCUUCCGCAAUGGACGAAAGUCUGACGGAGCAACGCCGCGUGAGUGAUGACGGCCGUCGGGUUGUAAAGCUCUGUUAAUCGGGACGAAAGGCCUUCUUGCGAAUAGUGAGAAGGAUUGACGGUACCGGAAGAGAAAGCCACGGCUAACUACGUG
rnacentral:rRNA from 1 species